GCCCUGUUAGCUCAGUUGGUAGAGCAUUGGACGUUUAAUUCAAUGGUCGUGGUUUCAAGUCCAACAUAGGGCA
rnacentral:tRNA from 1 species